CGCGUAGGUGGUAGUGCAAGUCUGGGGUGGAAUCCCAGGGCUUAACCCUGGAACUGCCUUGGAAACUGUAUUACUUGAGUCAGUGAGGGGAGGGUAGAAUUCCUGGUGUAGCGGUGAAAUGCGUAGAUAUCAGGAGGAAGGCCUGUGGCGAAGGCGGCCCUCUGGCGCUGAACUGACACUGAGGCGCGAAAGCGUGGGGAGCAAACAGGAUUAGAUACCCUGGUAGUCCACGCCCCAAACGGUGGGUACUAGGUGUAGGGCUCGUAAGGGUUCUGUGCCGAAGCGAAAGCAUUAAGUACCCCGCCUGGGGAGUACGGCCGCAAGGUUGAA
rnacentral:rRNA from 1 species